AGGACGAACGCUGGCGGCGUGCUUAACACAUGCAAGUCGAGCGGAAAGGCCCUUCGGGGUACUCGAGCGGCGAACGGGUGAGUAACACGUGAGUAAUCUGCCCCUAGCUCUGGGAUAGCUCCGGGAAACCGGGAUUAAUACUGGAUACGACCACCUUAGACAUCUUUUGUGGUGGAAAGAAUUUCGGCUAGGGAUGAGCUCGCGGCCUAUCAGCUUGUUGGUGGGGUAACGGCCUACCAAGGCGACGACGGGUAGCCGGCCUGAGAGGGCGACCGGCCGACACUGGGACUGAGACACGGCCCAGACUCCUACGGGAGGCAGCAGUGGGAAUAUUGCGCAAUGGGCGAAAGCCUGACGCAGCGACGCCGCGUGGGGGAUGAAGGCCUUCGGGUUGUAAACCCCUUUCAGCAGGGACGAAGCGAAAGUGACUGUACCUGCAGAAGAAGCACCGGCUAACUACGCGCCAGCAGCCGC
rnacentral:rRNA from 1 species